UGAGAGGAUGAUCCGCCACACUGGGACUGAGACACGGCCCAGACUCCUACGGGAGGCAGCAGUGGGGAAUUUUGGACAAUGGGCGCAAGCCUGAUCCAGCCAUGCCGCGUGUCUGAAGAAGGCCUUCGGGUUGUAAAGGACUUUUGUCAGGGAGCAAAACUUACUGGUUAAUACCUGGUGAGGUUGAGAGUACCUGAAGAAUAAGCACCGGCUAACUACGUGCCAGCAGCCGCGGUAAUACGUAGGGUGCAAGCGUUAAUCGGAAUUACUGGGCGUAAAGCGUGCGCAGGCGGACUUUUAAGCCAGAUGUGAAAGCCCCGAGCUUAACUUGGGAAUUGCGUUUGGAACUGGGGAGUCUAGAGUCUGUCAGAGGGGGAUGGAAUUCCACGUGUAGCAGUGAAAUGCGUAGAGAUGUGGAGGAACACCGAUGGCGAAGGCAGUCCCCUGGGAUAAGACUGACGCUCAUGCACGAAAGCGUGGGGAG
rnacentral:rRNA from 1 species